rnacentral:lncRNA from 1 species
UGCCCGUGUGUGCACCGUUAUGCAUGUAGUCUGACAGGUCUAUCAGUUUCAACGAUCUGCUAGGUUGCUGCAUCUGCAACUCUGUGCUGCUAUUCAAGGUUUGCUUGAUUCUUUAUUCCCUGCAUGCUUGUUCUUUCUCGCUACGCACAUGCUUCUCUUUCUCUAAGUACUGUAAUUUUGUUGUGCUGUCUCUAGCUACAUGCAUUUACCUUUCUUCAUCAGUCUAAUUGUCUAUUGAUGGGCCAUUCAUGUUAUGGUUAUGUGAACUUUAAGAUGUAAUAAUAUAUGGUGUUUAAAUUUUUAUUGUUUGUUUGCGCCUAUGAUUUUGCGUUACAGAGUCGUUCGAUGUCCAAGUUUCUAUAUUUUUUUACAAUGUUGCAGUCCAUUAGUUGCUUCAAUCCUGGUACACACUGGAUUGAAAAUAGGUCGUCCGUUUUUAUUGACUUUUUUUUGUACAUUGUGAAGUCAUGGCCCCGAUUUAUAUUCAUGUGUAGUUUGCUGUAUAGUUCAUGUAUGUUCUGUAAAGAGCAUGCAUAGCUAAUGGUUUAAUUCAUUUGUUCCUUCUUCAGAUGUUUCAUAUCGGUGCAUAUUUUAACUUGAUCCAUACCAUGCCAGUGAUUUUCUAAUAUUUGCCCAUAUCUUUUGGGCACAUAAUUAUGCUUCAGGAAGAUGUUAAAUAAGCUGGUUAGCUCUGGGGCAAAAGGGGUUAGCUCUGGGGCAAAAGGUCAGCAAAUCUGCUUGGCUGUUCCUCCCAAGGUGAUGAGAGAUUUCUUGUUGCAGAGUACAUGCCUAGAAAGACAUAUCUUCCACUGUAUGUUAACUGCUUGUGAGCAGGCCAGUACUUUACAAAUUUUACUACAGCAGCAAGGACGCUAUGCUUUGAAUAGUUGAGCCGCCCUCUGUUUUUCAUCCAUGGGCAGAGUAGAUGGAGGUGCAGUGGCUUAGGAUGUCAAGGUAGGGAUGGAACCUAUCCUUAUUUCAUAUGUUUCUGUUACUAUGAAAAGUGAAUCAUGUUUCUUCUGUGUAAUGCUAGGAUAAAGUUUGAUUUUCUCUGUACUACUCCAACUUGGUCCUAUCUCGAACUACAAAAAUAUUAUGUAUCGUUUUAAUUUAGAUUUGAUUAUUAUUAGAAUUAGAUGGUGUGCAUUGAAUUUGAAAAUAGGGCCAAGUACUGCCAUGGCUUAUAUCCUAUUGACUUUUCAUGGGACCUUGAAGCUUGGUGUUGAUCUCUUUGUAGCUUAUAAAAGAUAGUUAUAUCAUUUUACUGAAUGAAUAAUCAGAAAGGUGGGCCAACAAACCGUAACAUGUGGCAUAAAAAUUAUGUACGGUUUGAUAUUGUCCAUUGGGAUCAUCUUCUCUUAACGUUUAAUUAAUGCCACAUCAAGAUUACUUUUGUGAUGUUUAUUUUUUAUUUUUGAGUCAGCAGAAUGAUGAAAAUUUUAGAACAAGAUGUAGAAUGAUGCGCCUGGAUUGUUUAACUUGCAGUCUUUAUUUCUAAUAUUUUCUUUGUUGGUGAGGUUGCUUCUAGGUUUUAUUACUUUGGAUCUAAUUUAGGUAAUUUGAAAAUAGUCCUAUGUAGGAGUGUGCUCGUCUAUAACAGUUGGGGAGGGAAAUCGUACGAAUUACAGAUUUUGUAAAAAGUUGGCAUUAGUAUAUGCAUAAAUCUAAAUUAUUGUUCAUAAUGGAUUCACCACAGCUCUACAUAAGCUACUUUGGCUAUGUAUAUAAGCCGAAUUUCCUGUUUUCUUGCUUGCAAUACCAUGUACUGCCUCUUUACUUUGUUCUCCACAUUGUAAAUUUUGUCUUUAUUUUGAAGUAUAGUUGCCAACUAAUGGUCUGCAUUGUGUAUAACUGAAAUGAGUGUAGUUUCCUGAUACCAUUGUCUAUUACCGAAGUGAGUGUAGUUUCAUAAUACCAAAGCAUGUGCGCUCAUGCAUUUGUCUCUCUUUUAGUGUUGCUGAAUGCAUGAAAAACAUGCACAUGGCCAAAAGUUGAAAAAGUAGGCGCAAUUGGGUUUUCUCUUAGAAUUGUUCAUGUUCAUGUUGUUGUCAUUUUUCUCAAAUUUAGACAACUCUUUACGCUUAAUAACAGUUUACAAUUUCAAUGCAUCCUAUGUAUGUUUGACUGAUUGGUCGUCCUCUCAUCCGGACUUACUCAGCGUUGCAUUUGUGUGUUCCUUUACCCUGUGUUGCUUAUUUUUUGGUUCUGUGAGCUGGUUGUGUGUUGUUGUUUCCAUCCUCAUUUAGUCUAUGCUGAUGUUUUUUAAGAUGACUUCUAUAUUGCUGGAAACUUAAAUUUUAAUUUAUACAUUUGAGCAGCUGACUAGAUUAAAAAAAUAAUUUCUAUAAGGUUGAGGCCAUUUUAUUAGGUAAGUUACAAGAAAAUUAGGAUGAAUAUGCACAUGUUGUUGCUGUACAAAGGCUAAACGCUAAUUAACACUAAUGGUUCUUUCCUAAGGUUGAGUAGGAGUGUCUCACUUUUUCAUAUAAUUUUGUCUCCACAAUUGCCUAAAGAAUAGCUAGGUUCUAGAACAAACCUGUUACGAAUAAUUGCAUUGUGACUUCAAUGAAAAGUUCCUGGGCAUACUAUGUGUUCCUCUAGACUUGGUUGAAAGUAUUUCUUUUGUUAUCCAGUUUAUCACUACGCAUGUUACCUUUGUUGCUGAAUUUUGCCUACAGUUUAUAUAUAGUAGACUCACAUGAUUACCUGAUGCAGAUUCUACAACUUGAAAAACACAUCUAGGAUAUUCAAGUUGUGUGUGGCGCCACGGAGAAAGCUUGCUACUCCAGUCAACCACUUACACGAGAAUCAUGAAUUGAUUUGUCAUUUCAUGUUUGCACUUCUAUUACAGUAGAACAACAUGUCAUAAACAUGGUGUUGGGCAUUGUUUGUCCAGUUCCCUUCAAAACAGAAGAGAUAGUAGAGAGUGGCUCCAUGACCGAGAAGACAACAACGCAAUGUUUGUUCAGCUCCUUUAAAGAAUGAAGGAAUUACAAUGCAUCUGACCUAUAAAGGGGCUAUGAAGGACAAACUGCUAUGGAUCCAGAGGAGUGGGAGGGGAGAGUUUACCAACAAGGCAUCAAGGACAAGGCGUGACGUAGAUUCCUAAGUCCCAGUUAACAUAGCAAAAUUGUAUAGAGAGAAUGCCCACAUUUUGCUAUUACAUAGUUUGAGGCUAUGUUUCUUUCAGUUUUCAUUAUUAAAAGGAUCCUUAUCAUUGCCAAACUAUCAAGCAUUUAUUUUCAAACAACCCUUGGUUUGAAAUGGGGCCUUGCCCAUUUGGUGCAAUGAGUAAUGUUAUUGUACGUCUUAUUGUAGACAGGUAGAUAGGAAGCCUCCAUGUUCUUAUUAUAAAUAGGAAGUCUUUUGUUCUUUUUUCAUUAAGAGGGGUUAAAUUUGUUAUGCUUGCCCAUAACUAAACCAUGAAUUUUCUAUCCCAUGCACAUAUGGAUUAAUGGUUUGCACCAUUUGGCAAUGACACUAAAAAAGGUU